UGGCCUUUAAAGUUAAAGAAUUUGGCGGUAUUUUAGUCUAUUCAGAGGAACCUGCCCUAUAAUUGAUGAUCCACGAUUUACAUUACCAAUAUUUUUAAUUUAUAUAUCGUCGUAAUUUAAAUAUUUUAGGAGAAUUGUAAUAUUUAAAAUUUUGAAAAAGAAAAUAAUUCAGAUCAAGAUGUAGUUUAUAUAUUGGAAGAGGUGGGUUACAAUAAGUUUACUUAUGGAUGAGUAAUUGAAAAUUAUUUUGAAAAUGGAUUUGAAAGUAAUUAUAUAUAAAUUUGUAUGAUGAUUUAAGCUCUAAAAUAUG
rnacentral:rRNA from 1 species